rnacentral:rRNA from 1 species
AUUGAACGCUGGCGGCAGGCCUAACACAUGCAAGUCGAGCGAGCGGCGGACGGGUGAGUAAUGUCUGGGAAACUGACUGAUGGAGGGGGAUAACUACUGGAAACGGUAGCUGCUACCGCAUACCAUCAGAUGUGCCCAGAUGGGAUUAGCGAGUAGGUGGGGUAACGGCUCACCUCGGCGACGAUCCCUAGCUGGUCUGAGAGGAUGACCAGCCACACGGGAACUGAGACACGGUCCAGACUCCUACGGGAGGCAGCAGUGGGGAAUAUUGCACAAUGGGGGCAACCCUGAUGCAGCCAUGCCGCGUGGAUGAAGAAGGCCUUCGGGUUGUAAAGGACUUUCAGCGGGGAGGCGUUACCCGCAGAAGAAGCACCGGCUAACUCCGUGCCAGCAGCCGCGGUAAUAC